rnacentral:rRNA from 1 species
CGGAGGGAGCGAGCGUUGUCCGAAGUUACUGGGCGUAAAGCGCGCGUAGGCGGGGAAUUGAGUGAGAAGUGAAAGGCUGGGGCUUAACCCCAUGCAGUGCUUCUCAUACUGGUUCUCUUGAGGGUGGUAGAGAGAAGUGGAAUGGCUGGUGUAGCGGUGAAAUGCGUAGAUAUCAGUCGGAACACCAGUGGCGAAGGCGGCUUCUUGGGCCAUUUCUGACGCUGAGGCGCGAAAGCUAGGGGAGCGAACGGGAUUAGAUACCCCGGUAGUCCUAGCCGUAAACGAUGGAUACUAGGUGUCGGGGGUAUCGACCCCUCCGGUGCCGCAGCUAACGCACUAAGUAUCCCGCCUGGGGAGUACGGCCGCAAGGUUG